GACUCAACACGGGAAAUCUUACCGGGUCCGGACAUACCGAGGAUUGACAGACUGUUAACUGCAACACAUGCUGCUAAGUUUUAAACUUAAUAGCUCUUUCAUGAUUAUAUGAUAGGUGGUGCAUGGCCGUUCUUAGUUCGUGGAGUGAUCUGUCUGCUUAAUUGCGUUUCAAAAUCUAAACCUGAGCGACAAGGUGCUGCUAUCGAAACUGUCUUUGAGUGUGAACUAUAAGUCUUUUGACUUAUGACCAUCACUCUAGACGUUUAUGUUUUGGUGUUGGCCCUUGAUGCUCAUUUGAACGCAACGGACGUGAUUGCAACCCCUUGUUGAGAUUUAUCCGAUCUCUACGUUCACUGAACCACACUCUUUAGCGAGAGCAGUGGGGAUGUGGAUAAACUCGGGGGACUGCUGACUAUAAACUUUUCUCAAACCAGAGGAAGGUUGCGGCAAUAACAGGUCUGUGAUGCA
rnacentral:rRNA from 1 species